rnacentral:tRNA from 1 species
UGUGCGCGUAGCUCAGCUGGAUAGAGCGUCUGGCUACGGACCAGAAGGCCGGGAGUUCGAAUCUUCUCGCGCACGUC